rnacentral:sRNA from 1 species
GCAGGCGCCGCGGGCCAAGGGCCGCCCGAGACGGUCCCCAGAGAGCCACCGGAGGAGCAGCUCACCUGAGAGACGGAGCCCCGGCUCGCCCGUGUGCAGAGCGGACAGGGCAAAAUCUCAGCAAGUUCGGACCUCUAGUACAAUAAGGCGAACCUCCUCUUUGGAUACAAUAACAGGACCUUACCUCACAGGACAGUGGCCACGGGAUCCUCAUGUUCACUACCCUUCAUGCAUGAAAGACAAAGCUACUCAGACACCUAGCUGUUGGGCAGAAGAGGGUGCAGAAAAGAGGUCACAUCAGCGUUCUGCGUCAUGGGGGAGUGCUGAUCAACUAAAAGAGGUAAGUUAUUUCUGUUUUCCGUCUGUAACCUUUUUUGGUCCUAGUAGAUAACCUUAGUAUUUCUUGAAUGUAAUGACACUUUUAAAAUUUAUCCUAACCUUACCUCUUUCAGUAAAGUUAGAACAAAUUCUAGGGUAAGGUUAGAAUAAAUUCUA